AGCAUUCACAAUUAUUGGUACUUAGGGUGCAAUACCGUCUUUCCCCAAACAACACAGAAUGACUAGCAUUCACAAUUAUAGGUACUUAGGGUGCAAUACCGUCUUUCCCCAAACAACACAGAAUGACUAGCAUUCACAAUUAUAGGUACUUAGGGUGCAAUACCGUCUUUCCCCAAACAACACAGAAUGACUAGCAUUCACAAUUAUAGGUACUUAGGGUGCAAUACCGUCUUUCCCCAAACAACACAGAAUGACUAGCAUUCACAAUUAUAGGUACUUAGGGUGCAAUACCGUCUUUCCCCAAACAACACAGAAUGACUAGCAUUCACAAUUAUAGGUACUUAGGGUGCAAUACCGUCUUUCCCCAAACAACACUGAAU